rnacentral:rRNA from 1 species
AGAGUUUGAUCCUGGCUCAGAAUCAACGCUGGCGGCGCGCUUAACACAUGCAAGUCGAACGAGAAAGGGGAGCAAUCCCUGAGUACAGUGGCGUACGGGUGAGUAACACGUGGAUGACCUGCCCUCUGGUGGGGAAUAACCCUGGGAAACCGGGGCUAAUACCGCAUAAGUCCGGGAGGAGAAAGCCGAAAGGCGCCGGAGGAGGGGUCCGCGGCCGAUUAGCUAGUUGGUAGGGUAACGGCCUACCAAGGCGAAGAUCGGUAGCCGGCCUGAGAGGGCACACGGCCACACUGGCACUGAAAUACGGGCCAGACUCCUACGGGAGGCAGCAGUGGGGAAUCUUGCACAAUGGGGGAAACCCUGAUGCAGCGACGCCGCGUGAGCGAUGAAGCCCUUCGGGGUGUAAAGCUCUUUCGGCGGGAACGAAGAAAGACGGUACCCGCAGAAGAAGCUGCGGCUAACUACGUGCCAGCAGCCGCGGUAAUACGUAGGCAGCAAGCGUUGUUCGGAGUUACUGGGCGUAAAGAGUAUGUAGGCGGUUCUGUAAGUUUGGUGUGAAAUCUCCCGGCUCAACUGGGAGGGAGCGCCGAAAACUGCAGGGCUGGAGUGCGGGAGAGG